rnacentral:rRNA from 1 species
UGAUAUUCCUGUACCACCUAUAAUCGUUUUAAUCGAUGGGGGGACGCAGUAGGAUAGGCGAAGCGUGCGAUUGGAUUGCACGUCUAAGCAGUAAGGCUGAGUAUUAGGCAAAUCCGGUACUCGUUAAGGCUGAGCUGUGAUGGGGAGAAGACAUUGUGUCUUCGAGUCGUUGAUUUCACACUGCCGAGAAAAGCCUCUAGAUAGAAAAUAGGUGCCCGUACCGCAAACCGACACAGGUAGUCAAGAUGAGAAUUCUAAGGUGAGCGAGCGAACUCUCGUUAAGGAACUCGGCAAAAUGACCCCGUAACUUCGGGAGAAGGGGUGCUCUUUAGGGUUAACGCCCAGAAGAGCCGCAGUGAAUAGGCCCAAGCGACUGUUUAUCAAAAACACAGGUCUCUGCUAAACCGUAAGGUGAUGUAUAGGGGCUGACGCCUGCCCGGUGCUGGAAGGU